rnacentral:rRNA from 1 species
GCUACGGCCAUACCACCCCGAACAUGCCCAAUCUCAUCUGAUCUCAGAAACUAAGCAGGGUCAAGCCUGGUUAGUACUUAGAUGGGAGAAAGAUCUUCAGAAGAGACUGCUCAGAGACAAGCAGCA